rnacentral:lncRNA from 1 species
GGUAUUCCUUCAAUGGCUUUUGGGUUCACGAACAGGCAAAUAGUCAGGCUGCUCAGGCUAUUUCAGAGAAAAAAUGAAGAACAAGAAGAUACAGAUGGAAACAGAAGGAAGCUAGCCUUCUGUUUUGGUGGGAAAAAGAAGAAAGAAAUUGUCCUGAAGAAGGCAGAGUGGGUCAUGGCAGUUUGAGGGAGAGCCUUCUCCAGCACUUACAAUCUGGAGCCUAGCAUUUCCUAAAUGGCAGACCCAGAGUCAAGAAUUUUCUAAUGAUUAGUUUGGCAGAGAGCCAGGAAUUGCCAAAUCUGCAGCUGCUUUGCUGGGAACUCUUUAAUUUUAUUCUGAGUGACAAACAAUGCCUCCAGAUGCUGGGCUUCUGUUUGGGACUAAGCAUUGUCUCUCCUGUCUGCACCUCAUCAUCUAUGCAAGUUUACUUGUGUUUAUCUAGCUACAGAGUCUGCUGGGAAAGCAUCGACCCAAACUUCCACCAUCACUGAGCGGGAAGAGAGAAUGAAGAGGUUGGGGAAUCUGAUAAUUGAUCUCUAGAAGAUGAUCUGUGAGAGGGAUGAACUUCAUUCAGUCUUGACCCAUUACACCAAAAAGGAUUUGAACCACAGGUCUGAAAUACUCCGGCAGAAGAUCAAACAGGGCAUAGACAAGUGCUCUCUCAGACAGAACUCUUCAAGGGGAGCACUGGGUGUGCAAAGCAAGUGAACCAUCAUUGCAUCUCAUCCCUGUAACCAUGGCAAUUUUGGGCUGCAUUUCCUUUCUUCACUUUGGUUUACUAUUUGUGAAUAGGCCUUGGCUUUGUCUAGCCUCUGACCCAUCAAUAGUGCUUCUGGGUCCGAUUGCCUUUCCUUCUCUGACAGAACCCUUGAGAGAACUGUGGAGGGGGAAAGAAUGCCACUGACAACUUGGAGCACAACAUUCUCUGCACUAGGAUCAAAGCCUCCUCAGAAAAAGUUACCUCCUUAGAGAUGUGAACUCAACAGGGAGGCAAAUACCAACUGAUGUCUGGUAAAGCAGUCAGAAUCUGAGCCACUUGUCUGUUGGCUAACUACUCCAUGGGGAAAGAAAAUUAGAUCAAGAUACAUAAAACUAGGUACAAGAAUUACUCAGAACUCUGACACUCAACAAGUCAUACCAGCAAAGGCACAAUAUAUAGAGAAUAGGUUGUUGGGAAAGUACUACUCUCCUAGGGGCUUUGGCAAGCUGAGUCUUCCAUAUGUGGUGGUGAAUCUGUCGUGGGAACAUGUUGAUGCCACACUCUUUUCCAAACAGACCACACCCAAAAGCAUAUUUUUUCUCAGUUUAGUGUUGAAGGUAUUCCAUGUUACAUAUGUAUGUGAUACUGAAGUUAAUGUUCUUUACAGAUGACAGAGAUCCCUCUCUCCUUGUGUUAGUCAUUUAUUUUUCCAUAAAGAGAACUGCUGGGUAUUCUUCAGUCUCA